rnacentral:rRNA from 1 species
UACGUAGGGGGCAAGCGUUGUCCGGAUUUAUUGGGCGUAAAGAGCGUGUAGGCGGCCAGUCAGGUCCGUUGUGAAAACUCGAGGCUCAACCUCGAGACGCCGAUGGAAACCGACUGGCUAGAGUCCGGAAGAGGAGAGUGGAACUGCGAGUGUAGAGGUGAAAUUCGUAGAUAUUCGCAAGAACACCAGUGGCGAAGGCGGCUCACUGGUCCGGUACUGACGCUGAGGUGCGAAAGCGUGGGGAGCAAACAGG